rnacentral:rRNA from 1 species
UACAGAGGGGGCGAGCGUUGUUCGGAAUUACUGGGCGUAAAGGGCGCGUAGGCGGCCUCUUAAGUCGAACGUGAAAUCCCCGGGCUCAACCCGGGAACUGCGUCCGAUACUUGGGGGGCUUGAAUCCGGGAGAGGGAUGUGGAAUUCCAGGUGUAGCGGUGAAAUGCGUAGAUAUCUGGAGGAACACCGGUGGCGAAGGCGGCAUCCUGGACCGGUAUUGACGCUGAGGCGCGAAAGCCAGGGGAGCAAACGGG